rnacentral:rRNA from 1 species
GAUGAACGCUGGCGGCGUGCCUAAUACAUGCAAGUCGAGCGAACAGAUGAGGAGCUUGCUCCUCUGACGUUAGCGGCGGACGGGUGAGUAACACGUGGAUAACCUACCUAUAAGACUGGGAUAACUUCGGGAAACCGGAGCUAAUACCGGAUAAUAUAUUGAACCGCAUGGUUCAAUAGUGAAAGACGGUUUUGCUGUCACUUAUAGAUGGAUCCGCGCCGCAUUAGCUAGUUGGUAAGGUAACGGCUUACCAAGGCGACGAUGCGUAGCCGACCUGAGAGGGUGAUCGGCCACACUGGAACUGAGACACGGUCCAGACUCCUACGGGAGGCAGCAGUAGGGAAUCUUCCGCAAUGGGCGAAAGCCUGACGGAGCAACGCCGCGUGAGUGAUGAAGGUCUUCGGAUCGUAAAACUCUGUUAUUAGGGAAGAACAAAUGUGUAAGCAACUAUGCACGUCUUGACGGUACCUAAUCAGAAAGCCACGGCUAACUACGUG